CCAUUUAAAGAGUGCGUAAUAGCUCACUGGUCGAGUGACUCUGCGCCGAAAAUGUAACGGGGCUAAACACACCACCGAAGCUAUGGCUUGAUGCUUUGCAUCAGGGGUAGGGGAGCGUUGUAUGUAGGUUGAAGGUGUACCGUAAGGAGCGCUGGACAGCAUACAAGUGAGAAUGCCGGUAUGAGUAACGAAAAGAUCAGUGAGAAUCUGAUCCGCCGAAAGCCCAAGGUUUCCUGAGGAAGGCUCGUCCGCUCAGGGUAAGUCGGGACCUAAGGCGAGGCCGAUAGGCGUAGUCGAAGGACAACAGUUUGAAAUUACUGUACCACCGUAAUCCGCUAUGAGCGAUGGGGUGACGCAGGAGGGUAGUGACGCGGACUGAUGGAUGUCCGUCUAAGCAGUGAGGCUGGUGUGUAGGCAAAUCCGCACACUGUUAAGGCCAGGCUGUGAUGGGGAGCGAAAAUUAUAGUAGCGAAGGUCAUGAUCUCACACUGCCAAGAAAAGCCUCUAGCCAGGAGAAGGUGCCCGUACCGCAAACCGACACAGGUAGGCGAGAAGAGAAUUCUAAGGCGCGCGGAAGAACUCUCGUUAAGGAACUCGGCAAAAUGACCCCGUAACUUCGGGAGAAGGGGUGCCUCGGUAGGGUGAAUAGCCCGAGGGGGCCGCAGUGAAAAGGCCCAAGCGACUGUUUAGCAAAAACACAGGUCUGUGCGAAGCCGCAAGGCGAAGUAUACGGGCUGACGCCUGCCCGGUGCUGGAAGGUUAAGGGGAGUGGUUAGGGGUAACCCGAAGCUAUGAACCGAAGCCCCAGUAAACGGCGGCCGUAACUAUAACGGUCCUAAGGUAGCGAAAUUCCUUGUCAGGUAAAUUCUGACCCGCACGAAUGGCGUAACGACUUGGGCGCUGUCUCAACGAGAGAUCCGGUGAAAUUUUAAUACCUGUGAAGAUGCAGGUUACCCGCGACAAGACGGAAAGACCCCAUGGAGCUUUACUGCAGCUUGAUAUUGAAUUUGGGUACGAUCUGUACAGGAUAGGUGGGAGCCGUAGAAGCAGGAGCGCAAGCUUCUGUGGAGGCGCCGUUGGGAUACCACCCUGAUCGUAUCUAGGUUCUAACCUGGUGCCCUUAACGGGUACGGGGACCGUGUCAGGCGGGCAGUUUGACUGGGGCGGUCGCCUCCUAAAGAGUAACGGAGGCGUUCAAAGGUUCCCUCAGAAUGGUUGGAAAUCAUUCGAAGAGUGCAAAGGCAUAAGGGAGCUUGACUGCGAGACCUACAAGUCGAGCAGGGACGAAAGUCGGACUUAGUGAUCCGGUGGUACCGCAUGGAAGGGCCAUCGCUCAACGGAUAAAAGCUACCCUGGGGAUAACAGGCUUAUCUCCCCCAAGAGUCCACAUCGACGGGGAGGUUUGGCACCUCGAUGUCGGCUCAUCGCAUCCUGGGGCUGAAGUAGGUCCCAAGGGUUGGGCUGUUCGCCCAUUAAAGCGGUACGCGAGCUGGGUUCAGAACGUCGUGAGACAGUUCGGUCCCUAUCUGUCGUGGGCGCAGGAAAUUUGAGAGGAGCUGUCCUUAGUACGAGAGGACCGGGAUGGACGUACCGCUGGUGCACCAGUUGUUCCGCCAGGAGCAUGGCUGGGUAGCUACGUACGGACGGGAUAAGCGCUGAAAGCAUCUAAGCGUGAAGCCCCCCUCAAGAUGAGAUUUCCCAAUUAGUAAGACCCCUUGAAGACGACGAGGUAGAUAGGUUGGAGGUGGAAGUGCAGCAAUGCAUGGAGCUGACCAAUACUAAUCGGUCGAGGGCUUAUCCAAU
rnacentral:rRNA from 1 species